AGAGUUUGAUCCUGGCUCAGGACGAACGCUGGCGGCGUGCUUAACACAUGCAAGUCGAGCGGGGAUGCGAGCCUGAGCGCUUCGGCGUGAAGGCUAGCGUCCUAGCGGCGGACGGGUGAGUAACGCGUGGGCAACCUGCCCUCAAGACCGGGAUACCAACUCGAAAGGGUUGUUAAUACCGGAUGUGAUGAAUGGCUCGCAUGAGUUGUUCAUCAAAGGAGCGAUCCGCUUGAGGAGGGGCCUGCGUUCCAUUAGCUAGUUGGUGAGGUAACGGCUCACCAAGGCGACGAUGGGUAGCCGGCCUGAGAGGGUGAACGGCCACACUGGGACUGAGACACGGCCCAGACUCCUACGGGAGGCAGCAGUAGGGAAUAUUGCGCAAUGGGCGGAAGCCUGACGCAGCGACGCCGCGUGAGCGAAGAAGGCCUUCGGGUCGUAAAGCUCUGUCCUUGGGGAAGAAGGCGAAAGCUUGACGGUACCCAAGAAGAAAGCCCCGGCUAACUACGUGCCAGCAGCCGCGGUAAU
rnacentral:rRNA from 1 species